rnacentral:rRNA from 1 species
UACAGAGGUCUCAAGCGUUGUUCGGAUUCAUUGGGCGUAAAGGGUGCGUAGGCGGCGCGGUAAGUCGGGUGUGAAAUCUUGGAGCUUAACUCCGAAACUGCAUUCGAUACUGCCGUGCUUGAGGACUGGAGAGGAGACUGGAAUUUACGGUGUAGCGGUGAAAUGCGUAGAUAUCGUAAGGAAGACCAGUGGCAAAGGCGGGUCUCUGGACAGUUCCUGACGCUGAGGCACGAAGGCCAGGGGAGCAAACGGG